GUGCUCACUUUGGUAGCAUGUAUACUAAAAAUUGGAAUGAUACAUAGAAGAUUAACAUGACCCCUGCACAAAGAUGACAUGCACAUCUGUGAAGUGCUCCAUAUUUUU
rnacentral:snRNA from 1 species